GUAAAAAAUGUCUUCCAUUGGAAAUGCUUAGCUUCUAGUCAGUUUUUCUCAUUUGUGUGUAUUUAGAGAGGCAUUAGAGAAGCAAGUAUUUGCUCUCUGGAGGCAGAAGGUGUCUCAGCAUCGAGAAAUCCGCUUGGCUGAGAGAAUGGCUAUGCUGCAGGCAGAGCAGCAGCUCUUGCGUAGGUUCUGGUUCGUGUGGCACCAGCGGGCAGCGGCGUGUCACCAGGAGCGACAGCGGCAAGCCAUGGCCAUUGCCCACCACCACAGCGGGCUGCUCAGGAGGGCUUUCUGCAUCUGGAGGGAAAGCACCCAAGGAUUUAGGAUGGAGAGGAUGGGCAGGGCACAGGCUUCACACUUCCACUCAGUACGGCUCCUGUGUUGGGCCUGGAGCAAGUGGAGGGAGGGCCUAGCUCUGAGGAUGGAGGAGCAGCAAAAGCUGAAGCGUGCAGCCCUGCACAGCCAGCGCACCCUGCUCCACAGGGCUCUGCAGAAGUGGCUGGUAGGAGCCAGUUCUUUCUUCUGGGUCUCCUCAGUUCGGGGUAGGGGAGGCUUCUGGACGCAUUUCCAUUCCUUCCCAGAGUGAUCCGACAAGGCUCUAAACAUCAGGUACCCUGGAAAGUGCUACCUGGGGUGCCAGCCUUCCUUGAAAUCUGGUUUCUAAGAGUCCAGGAGCUGGGCCUUAUGGGACAUUAUAUUGGUGAUGGGUGCCGGCCUUGGAAUGGAGACCUUCAACC
rnacentral:lncRNA from 1 species